AAUUCAAUGAGCGCAAGAGAGAAGCUUAAUUGGCAAACAGAAAUGGAGAUGGAGGAGAUUCAAACCCAACUCCAAAAUCCUGAACAAAUGGAUGAUGCUUCGAAUAUAGACAGUAUUGCAGAAAACCCUAACAGUCCUGCUUCCUCCGAUUCACCCGACGAUUCGGACGCCGACUCAGAGGACGAGUCGCACCACAAUGAUGAGCUUAAAACCUUGGAAGCCGAGCUCUCUACUAACCCCUCCAACUACUACGCUCAUGUCCAAUGCAUAAAGCUGUUGAGGAAAAUGGGCGAGAUAGAGAAGCUGAGACAAGCAAGGGAAGCCAUGAGCGCCGUUUUUCCAUUGACCCCUGCAAUGUGGCAGGAAUGGGCUAAAGAUGAGGCUUCUCUUUCUUCUGGGGCUGAGGUUUCUUCUGUGGUUGAGACGCUUUAUGAGCGAGGAUUAUUGGAUUAUCU
rnacentral:misc_RNA from 1 species